rnacentral:tRNA from 1 species
UGAGCUAUAGUAUAAUGGUUAGUACAGGGGAUUUUGAUUCCUCUAGUCCUGGUUCAACUCCAGGUAGCUCAACCA